UCUUUGAUGCUUUUCAUUGAUUAUUAAGCUAUGGUGCAACAGUCAGUUUUGUCUCUUGACAAUAUAAUCAGCGAGAGACAACAAAGGAACCACCUUGUCAGAAUCAAACCCCUGAAGAUGUUCCUGCGCUUCUCUGUUCAACCUCUUUGCAUAUUCUCUCGCAUUGUCCACACCCAUCACCUUCGGAUACGUCAGCUUUCCGGUGAUCAAAUCUUUACCGGCAGUUUUCCCAAGCUCCUCGGAAGACUUGGUCUCAUCGAGUACAUCAUCCAUCACCUGAAACAUCAGUCCAACGCACCUCGCGUAGCUCUUAAGCCUCUCAAUCUCUUCAUCAGACCCACCUCCCAUUAUAGCUCCCACAACAGCCGCAGCUUCAACCAAAACCGCGGUUUUA